AUUGAACGCUGGCGGCAUGCCUUACACAUGCAAGUCGAACGGUAACGGGCCUUCGGGUGCCGACGAGUGGCGAACGGGUGAGUAAUGCAUCGGAACGUACCUUUCAGUGGGGGAUAACGUAGCGAAAGUUACGCUAAUACCGCAUAUUCUGUGAGCAGGAAAGCAGGGGAUCGCAAGACCUUGCGCUGAUUGAGCGGCCGAUGUCAGAUUAGCUAGUUGGUGAGGUAAAGGCUCACCAAGGCGACGAUCUGUAGCGGGUCUGAGAGGAUGGAUCCGCCACACUGGAACUGAGACACGGUCCAGGACUCCUACCGGGAGGCAGCAGUGGGGAAUUUUGGGACAAUGGGGGCAACCCCUGGAUCCAGCCAUGCCGCGUGAGUGAAGAAGGCC
rnacentral:rRNA from 1 species